rnacentral:misc_RNA from 1 species
AACGCACAUUGCGCCCCCUGGUAUUCCGGGGGGCACGCCUGUCCGAGCGUCAUUUACUCCCUUCAAGCUCAGCUUGUCAUGGCCUGCAGGUCUUCGUGUCCACUGACGCAAUGGGACCUGGCUGAAAUAUCUAGCGCCCGAACCACGACGACGGUGUCUCUGGGAAUGCAGUACACCUUGUACCGAGUGGCUUGCAUGGGUUGCACGCAUGGUGCCUGUAAUAAGGCCCAACACGAUUGACCUCAGAUCAGGCGGGGAAACCCGCUGAACUUAA